rnacentral:rRNA from 1 species
GACGAACGCUGGCGGCGUGCUUAACACAUGCAAGUCGAACGGAAAGGCCCUGCUUUUGUGGGGUGCUCGAGUGGCGAACGGGUGAGUAACACGUGAGUAACCUGCCCUUGACUUUGGGAUAACUUCAGGAAACUGGGGCUAAUACCGGAUAGGAGCUCCUGCUGCAUGGUGGGGGUUGGAAAGUUUCGGCGGUUGGGGAUGGACUCGCGGCUUAUCAGCUUGUUGGUGGGGUAGUGGCUUACCAAGGCUUUGACGGGUAGCUGGCCUGAGAGGGUGACCGGCCACAUUGGGACUGAGAUACGGCACAGACUCCUACGGGAGGCAGCAGUGGGGAAUAUUGCACAAUGGGCGGAAGCCUGAUGCAGCAACGCCGCGUGCGGGAUGACGGCCUUCGGGUUGUAAACCGCUUUCGCCUGUGACGAAGCGUGAGUGACGGUAAUGGGUAAAGAAGCACCGGCUAACUACGUG